rnacentral:rRNA from 1 species
CAGCACCUCAAGUGGUCAGGAUGAUUAUUGGGCCUAAAGCAUCCGUAGCCGGCGCUGUAAGUUUUCGGUUAAAUCUGUACGCUCAACGUACAGGCUGCCGGGAAUACUGCAGAGCUAGGGAGUGGGAGAGGUAGACGGUACUCGGUGGAAGGGGUAAAAUCCUUUGAUCUAUUGAUGACCACCUGUGGCGAAGGCGGUCUACCAGAACACGUCCGACGGUGAGGGAUGAAAGCUGGGGGAGCAAACCGGAUUAGAUACCCGCGUAGUCC